rnacentral:rRNA from 1 species
UACGGAGGAGGCAAGCGUUAUCCGGAAUUAUUGGGCGUAAAGCGUCCGCAGGUGGCACCUCAAGUCUGCUGUCAAAGACCGGGGCUUAACCCCAGAAAGGCAGUGGAAACUGAAGUGCUAGAGUGCAGUAGGGGUAGAGGGAAUUCCCGGUGUAGCGGUGAAAUGCGUAGAGAUCGGGAAGAACAUCGGUGGCGAAAGCGCUCUGCUAGGCCGCAACUGACACUGAGGGACGAAAGCUAGGGGAGCGAAUGGG